GCUUCCGUAACUCAGUUGGUUAGAGUAGGGGAUUUUUAAUCCCAAGGUCCUCGGUUCGAAUCCGAGCGGGAGCAC
rnacentral:tRNA from 1 species